GAUGAACGCUGGCGGCGUGCCUAAUACAUGCAAGUCGAGCGAACGGACGAGAAGCUUGCUUCUCUGAUGUUAGCGGCGGACGGGUGAGUAACACGUGGAUAACCUACCUAUAAGACUGGGAUAACUUCGGGAAACCGGAGCUAAUACCGGAUGAUAUUUUGAACCGCAUGGUUCAAAAGUGAAAGACGGUCCUGCUGUCACUUAUAGAUGGAUCCGCGCUGCAUUAGCUAGUUGGUAAGGUAACGGCUUACCAAGGCAACGAUGCAUAGCCGACCUGAGAGGGUGAUCGGCCACACUGGAACUGAGACACGGUCCAGACUCCUACGGGAGGCAUCAGUAGGGAAUCUUCCGCAAUGGGCGAAAGCCUGACGGAGCAACGCCGCGUGAGUGAUGAAGGUCUUCGGAUCGUAAAACUCUAUUAUUAGGGAAGAACAUAUGUGUAAGUAACUGUGCACAUCUUGACGGUACCUAAUCAGAAAGCCACGGCUAACUACGUG
rnacentral:rRNA from 1 species